GCCCACUGGCCAGCACAGAAUCUUAUUUCAACUUGGUGUGUUACAUGGACCCAAUCUGUUUUUCAUACUAUCAUGUUGUAGAAUGCCUUGAAUUCAAUCAGAUGACCUCAAUGGGUGCUCCUUGUAUUCACAUUCAGAAAUGUUUCCAUGUUUUCCCAAUAGGAUAACUUUCUUUUCUUGUGUAGUAUCAUCUUAGAAGAUCUUUGUUGUGAUCUAAGUAUAGGAUUUGGAGGGCAUGUUGGAUUUGAGUCUUGAAUCUAACACUUAUUAGCAGUGUCUACUUGCUUGACUUCUUAGAGCCUCAGUUUUCUCAUCUGUAGAUGGAAUGAUGUUAGUGAUAGUAUUAUUGGGAGAAAAAGUGAAAUGAAUGUAUUAUCAUCUAUGAGCAUAUGUAGUAGAUGCCACAUAAAAGAUUAUUCUUGCUCUUCUUUUUCAGUGAGCCUAAGACAAUACAGAUGUUGCUUGAUUUAUUGUGGAGUUGCAUCCCAAUAAACCCAUCAUAAAUUGAAAAUAGAAGUCAGCCAAAAGUGCAUUUAAUACACCUAACCUACUUUAGCCCAGCCGACCUUAAACAUGCUUGGAACACUAUCAUAAUCUGGGGCCAGAUCAUCUAAUGUAAACACUGUUUAUAAUCAAGUAAAUGUUGAUUAUGUCAUGUAUCUUACCAAAACUGUACUGAAAGUGAAAACCAGAAUUGUUGGGUGGGUACUUGAAUAAUAGUUUCUACUAACUGCAUAUCACCUUUGCACUGUUGUAAAGAUGAAAAAUCAUAAAUUGAACCAUUGCAAAUUGGGGAUCAUGUGUAUAAGACAAGCAGAUAAUACAACUAACUCAUUGUAACCAUCCAUAUUCUUGUGUUCACAAGCUUAUCAUCCAAGGCCUCACUGGUUGGAAUUCAUUUUAUAAUUAUCCAGAAGGAUUUGAGAGAAGAGGUUUUAAUCUUAUUUUAGGAACAGAAGG
rnacentral:lncRNA from 1 species